AGGGCAAGUCUGGUGCCAGCAGCCGCGGUAAUUCCAGCUCCAAUAGCGUAUAUUAAAGUUGCUGCAGUUAAAAAGCUCGUAGUUGAAUUUCGGGACCAAUAUGUCGGUCGUGCUUCGGUACGUACUGUCAUUAUUGGUUUCUCCCUUCUGAAGAACCUUGAUGUCAUUAAUUUGGUGUCUUGGGGAAUCAGGACUGUUACUUUGAAAAAAUUAGAGUGUUUAAAGCAGGCUCGCGCUUGAAUACAUUAGCAUGGAAUAAUGAAAUAGGACGUUUGAUUCUAUUUUGUUGGUUUCUAGGAUCGACGUAAUGAUUAAUAGGGAUAGUUGGGGGCAUUAGUAUUCAAUUGUCAGAGGUGAAAUUCUUGGAUUUAUUGAAGACUAACUACUGCGAAAGCAUUUGCCAAGGAUGUUUUCAUUAAUCAAGAAAGAAAGUUAGGGGAUCGAAGACGAUCAGAUACCGUCGUAGUCUUAACCAUAAACUAUGCC
rnacentral:rRNA from 1 species